CGUAGGAUAUGUGAAGAAAAGUCAAAGAAAAUAGCAAUUGCAAAAUCAACUACCAAUGCUUUAAAUAUGUCAUGAUCUCAUACAAUUCAAUUAAAUGAACCUGAUGAAAAGGGGAUUAAAGAUGGUAUCUCAGAUCCAAACCAUAGCAAGUUACAGUCCGGAGUCAAACAAAUGAGAUGACUCGGCAUGCCCUGAAUGCCCACCCGAGGUCCAUUCCAGCUGUCCUGGCGAUCCCGUCCAAGAAGCAUCCCUACGAUGCAGCCAAAAGACUCCAUCCUGCACAGAGCCAAGGGACUGCAGGCAAAUAAGCAAUAUCCUGCCUCUUUGGCAAAUAAUGGAUCGUUUGGCUUCCUGAACUUCUGCAUGGAUUGUGUGUCUCUCCCUGCGUUUACUUAACAUCUUGAGCAGAAAUGAUGGAAUUAGAAUGAUUUCUUACUGGAAACCAAGCACAGAGAGGAG
rnacentral:lncRNA from 1 species